rnacentral:rRNA from 1 species
GAUGAACGCUGGCGGCGUGCCUAAUACAUGCAAGUCGAGCGAACAGACGAGGAGCUUGCUCCUCUGACGUUAGCGGCGGACGGGUGAGUAACACGUGGAUAACCUACCUAUAAGACUGGGAUAACUUCGGGAAACCGGAGCUAAUACCGGAUAAUAUAUUGAACCGCAUGGUUCAAUAGUGAAAGACGGUUUUGCUGUCACUUAUAGAUGGAUCCGCGCCGCAUUAGCUAGUUGGUAAGGUAACGGCUUACCAAGGCAACGAUGCGUAGCCGACCUGAGAGGGGGAUCGGCCACACUGGAACUGAGACACGGUCCAGACUCCUACGGGAGGCAGCAGUAGGGAAUCUUCCGCAAUGGGCGAAAGCCUGACGGAGCAACGCCGCGUGAGUGAUGAAGGUCUUCGGAUCGUAAAACUCUGCUAUUAGGGAAGAACAAAUGUGUAAGUAACUAUGCACGUCUUGACGGUACCUAAUCAGAAAGCCACGGCUAACUACGU